rfam:Stegodyphus mimosarum contig38351, whole genome shotgun sequence.
GCCUUCGUGGUGUAGUGGUCAGCACGCUCGACGCGUAUUCGAGAGGUCCGUGGUUCGAUUCCCGGCGAGGGCA